GCGGGAAUAGCUCAGUUGAUAGAGCAUUAGCCUUCCAAGCUGAGGGUCGCGGGUUUGAGUCCCGUUUCCCGCU
rfam:Tannerella sp. CAG:51 genomic scaffold, scf187